rnacentral:rRNA from 1 species
UCCGUAGGUGAACCUGCGGAAGGAUCAUUAACAAAUCUACCUUUACAUAAACCGUUGCAUUGGCCGUGGAGGGCGUGCCGUUGAGACUGUGGUUUCGCGGCGCUGCCUGAUGCGGACGUACAAGGCGAGUCGUCCCUCCGGGGAUGAUGGGCCUUUACAUAAACGUGUGUGUUGUUGUCUAACGGUUCGUAAUGUAGCAAUAAGUACAACUAUUAACAGUGGAUCUCUUGGCUCCCACAUCGAUGAAGAACGCAGCGAAAUGCGAUAAGUAAUGUGAAUUGCAGAAUUCAGUGAAUCAUCGAAUCUUUGAACGCAUCUUGCGCUCCUUGGUAUUCCAUGGAGCAUGCCUGUUUGAGUGUCACGUAAACCCUCACCCUGGUGAUGUCAAAGUCGCCUGUGGUGGAUUUGGACCGUGCCGUAAUUGGCUCGUCCUGAAAUGCAUUAGCUUGUGCUUUUUAGAGUGCUCGGCAUGGUGUGAUAAUUAUCUGCGCCAUUGCCUUAGGCCUCUUCUGUGUGCGCUGCUU